rnacentral:rRNA from 1 species
AGAGAUGUGUGAUGACGCAUAUCAAUAAGCGGAGGAAAAGAAACUAACAAGGAUUCCCUUAGUAACGGCGAGUGAAGCGGGAAGAGCUCAAAUUUGAAAUCUUCAAGGUUCUACCUUGACGAAUUGUAGUUUAUAGAAGUGUUUUCUGUUAGUAGAGUGGCAAAAGUUCUUUGGAAUAGGACAUCAUAGAGGGUGAGAAUCCCGUAUUUGGUCAUUCCUUCUAGCUUUGUGAUACACUUUCAACGAGUCGGAUUGUUUGGGAAUGCAGUCCAAAAUGGGUGGUAAAUUUCAUCUAAAGCUAAAUAUUGGCGAGAGAUCCGAUAGCGAACAAGUACCGUGAGGGAAUGAUGAAAAGAACUUUGAAAAGAGAGUUAAACAGUACGUGAAAUUGUCAAAAGGGAAGCGUUUGACACCAGUGUUGUUUUUCCGAAAAUCAAUUACGAAUGUUUUGUUUUUGAGAAGUUAUGACUUCAUCGGCUUGCUCUCUUCUUUACGAAACUUUCUUAAUGCACUUUUCGGUUAACAAGUCAACAUCAAUUUCUUUUGUUGUAAAAGGGUAUGAGGAAGGUGGCUUUCUUUUCGGAGAAAGUGUUUAUAGCCUUGUACCUCUGCAAUCGGAGAGAUUGAGGUCUGCAGCGUAGAUCCUUCGGGGUUAGAUACAUUUGUGCGAAGUUAUAGCUUUUCAUAGACAACUUGUUGACUAUGUUAGUCUUGUAGCUUACUCGCUUAUGCUAUUUUACCUACGCUUAGGAUGUUGAAGAUGUAGCACAUCAU